AUUCUACUGACGAGUUCCAAAGUGGGAGGAAACACGUGUCCUGAAU
rfam:Schistosoma margrebowiei strain Zambia genome assembly, scaffold: SMRZ_contig0001635